rnacentral:rRNA from 1 species
GACGAACGCUGGCGGCGUGCUUAACACAUGCAAGUCGAACGGAAAGGCCCUGCUUGUGUGGGGUGCUCGAGUGGCGAACGGGUGAGUAACACGGGAGUAACCUGCCCUUGACUUUGUGAUAACUUCAGGAAACUGGGGCUAAUACCGGCUAGGAGCUCCUGCUGCAUGGUGGGGGUUGGAAAUUUUCGGCGGUUGGGGAUGGACGCGCGGCUUAUCAGCUUGUUGGGGGGGGAGUGGCUUACCAAGGCUUUGACGGGUAGCCGGCAUGAGAGGGUGACCGGCCACAUUGGGACUGAGAUACGGCCCAGACGCGUACGGGAGGCAGCAGUGGGGAAUAUUGCACAAUGGGUGGAAGCCUGAUGCAGCAACGCCGCGUGCGGGAUGACGGCCUUCGGGUUGUAAACCGCUUUCGCCUGUGACGAAGCGUGAGUGACGGUAAUGGGUAAAGAAGCACCGGCUAACUACGUG